GACGAACCGAGCGAACGUUGUUCGGAAUCACUGGGCUUAAAGGGCGCGUAGGCGGGCUGCCGCGUCCGGGGUGAAAUCCCACGGCUCAACCGUGGAACGGCCCCGGGUACGGGCGGCCUCGAGGGGGGUAGGGGCGUGCGGAACUGUGGGUGGGGCGGUGACAUGCGUUGAUAUCCACAGGAACUCCGGUGGCGAAGGCGGCACGCUAGACCCUCUCUGACGCUGAGGCGCGAAAGCCAGGGGGGCGAACGGG
rnacentral:rRNA from 1 species